rnacentral:rRNA from 1 species
AUUGAACGCUGGCGGCAGGCUUAACACAUGCAAGUCGAACGAUGAUUAUCUAGCUUGCUAGAUAUGAUUAGUGGCGGACGGGUGAGUAACAUUUAGGAAUCUGCCUAGUAGUGGGGGAUAGCUCGGGGAAACUCGAAUUAAUACCGCAUACGACCUACGGGUGAAAGGGGGCGCAAGCUCUUGCUAUUAGAUGAGCCUAAAUCAGAUUAGCUAGUUGGUGGGGUAAAGGCCCACCAAGGCGACGAUCUGUAACUGGUCUGAGAGGAUGAUCAGUCACACCGGAACUGAGACACGGUCCGGACUCCUACGGGAGGCAGCAGUGGGGAAUAUUGGACAAUGGGGGCAACCCUGAUCCAGCCAUGCCGCGUGUGUGAAGAAGGCCUUUUGGUUGUAAAGCACUUUAAGCAGGGAGGAGAGGCUAAUGGUUAAUACCCAUUAGAUUAGACGUUACCUGCAGAAUAAGCACCGGCUAACUCUGUGCCAGCAGCCGCGGUAAUACAGAGGGUGCGAGCGUUAAUCGGAAUUACUGGGCGUAAAGCGAGUGUAGGUGGCUCAUUAAGUCACAUGUGAAAUCCCCGGGCUUAACCUGGGAACUGCAUGUGAUACUGGUGGUGCUAGAAUAUGUGAGAGGGAAGUAGAAUUCCAGGUGUAGCGGUGAAAUGCGUAGAGAUCUGGAGGAAUACCGAUGGCGAAGGCAGCUUCCUGGCAUAAUAUUGACACUGAGAUUCGAAAGCGUGGGUAGCAAGCAGGAUUAGAUACCCUGGUAGUCCACGCCGUAAACGAUGUCUACUAGCCGUUGGGGUCCUUGAGACUUUAGUGGCGCAGUUAACGCGAUAAGUAGACCGCCUGGGGAGUACGGCCGCAAGGUUAAAACUCAAAUGAAUUGACGGGGGCCCGCACAAGCGGUGGAGCAUGUGGUUUAAUUCGAUGCAACGCGAAGAACCUUACCUGGUCUUGACAUAGUGAGAAUCCUGCAGAGAUGCGGGAGUGCCUUCGGGAAUUCACAUACAGGUGCUGCAUGGCUGUCGUCAGCUCGUGUCGUGAGAUGUUGGGUUAAGUCCCGCAACGAGCGCAACCCUUUUCCUUAUUUGCCAGCGGGUUAAGCCGGGAACUUUAAGGAUACUGCCAGUGACAAACUGGAGGAAGGCGGGGACGACGUCAAGUCAUCAUGGCCCUUACGACCAGGGCUACGCACGUGCUACAAUGGUAGGUACAGAGGGUUGCUACACAGCGAUGUGAUGCUAAUCUCAAAAAGCCUAUCGUAGUCCGGAUUGGAGUCUGCAACUCGACUCCAUGAAGUCGGAAUCGCUAGUAAUCGCAGAUCAGAAUGCUGCGGUGAAUACGUUCCCGGGCCU